rnacentral:rRNA from 1 species
GGGUGAGUAAUAUAUCGGAACGUGCCCAGUCGUGGGGGAUAACGCAGCGAAAGCUGUGCUAAUACCGCAUACGAUCUCUGGAUGAAAGCGGGGACUCGCAAGAGCCUCGCGCGAUUGGAGCGGCCGAUAUCAGAUUAGCUAGUGGGCGGGGUAAAAGCCCACCAAGGCGACGAUCUGCAGCUGGUCUGAGAGGACGACCAGCCACACUGGAACUGAGACACGGUCCAGACUCCUACGGGAGGCAGCAGUGGGGAAUUUUGGACAAUGGGCGAAAGCCUGAUCCAGCAAUGCCGCGUGCAGGAUGAAGGCCUUCGGGUUGUAAACUGCUUUUGUACGGAACGAAACGGUCUGCCUUAAUACGGUGGGCUAAUGACGGUACCGUAAGAAUAAGCACCGGCUAACUACGUGCCAGCAGCCGCGGUAAUACGUAGGGUGCGAGCGUUAAUCGGAAUUACUGGGCGUAAAGCGUGCGCAGGCGGUUAUAUAAGACAGAUGUGAAAUCCCCGGGCUCAACCUGGGACCUGCAUUUGUGACUGUAUAGCUAGAGUACGGUAGAGGGGGAUGGAAUUCCGCGUGUAGCAGUGAAAUGCGUAGAUAUGCGGAGGAACACCGAUGGCGAAGGCAAUCCCCUGGACCUGUACUGACGC